CAUUACGAGAUCCAGAUCUACGACGUCCCGACGGCCACGAAUCCGACCGGCAGCAUCUACGGCGUCGUACCGGCCACCGACGCCGGAUGCCGGAGCGGUGAGUGGUGUCUGAUGCAGCUCAUUUCCGACGGGCCGUACUCACGGGUACUCAUCAACGGAAAAACCGUCGCAGAGAGUAAGACGCUGGCGCUGCCGGACUCCGGCCGCAUCGCCAUUCAGCAUCACAGUCACGGCGCGAUUGAAUACAACGACAUCCGCAUAAAACCGCUGCGGGAGUAGAAUUGGCCGCUGCGGCCGGAACUUUCACGCGCCGUACGUGUGGCCUAUAGUAACUAUGAAGGUUCCGGACAUGCAUCGUCUUCCGUCGC
rnacentral:misc_RNA from 1 species